rnacentral:lncRNA from 10 species
CCGGAAUUGAGUAUUGGCUCUGGAGGGCAGAAAUGAUGUGAUGUUCAUAUUUGUAUGAAGGCCAACAUGAGAUUAGAAGUUGGGCAAGGCACAGUGUGGAUGGUGGAUGGCUCACCUCUGCUCCAUGACAUCUGCAGCCCCAGAUGGGAAUAAUAAAAUGUUGGGAAGACAUCUUUCCUCUUCUACCCCACUCUCCCACCAGAAUCAUCAGGAGGCAUCUUUAUUUCUAUCUCAUGAUUAAUGGCAG